rnacentral:rRNA from 1 species
GAGUUUGAUCCUGGCUCAGGACGAACGCUGGCGGCGCGCCUAACACAUGCAAGUCGAGCGAGAACCGGACCUUCGGGUCCGGGGAAAGCGGCGAACGGGUGAGUAACACGUGGGUAACCUGUCCUUGGCACCGGGAUAGCCCGGGGAAACCCGGAUUAAUACCGGACGGUCUCCGAAGCCUUCGGGCGUCGGAGAAAAGGUGGCUUCGGCAUCCGGCCGAGGAGGGGCCUGCGGCGGAUUAGCUUGUUGGUGGGGUAACGGCCCACCAAGGCGACUAUCCGUAGCUGGUCUGAGAGGACGAUCAGCCACACUGGGACUGAGACACGGCCCAGACUCCUACGGGAGGCAGCAGUGGGGAAUCUUGCGCAAUGGGCGAAAGCCUGACGCAGCGACGCCGCGUGCGGGAAGAAGGCCUUCGGGUUGUAAACCGCUUUCAGGAGGGACGAAGCUACUCGGGUGAAUAGCCCAGAGGGUGACGGUACCUCCAGAAGAAGCCCCGGCUAACUACGUGCCAGCAGCCGCGGUAAUACGUAGGGGGCUAGCGUUGUCCGGAUUUAUUGGGCGUAAAGAGCGCGUAGGCGGCUUGUCAAGUCCGGGGUGAAAUCUCCCGGCU